rnacentral:rRNA from 1 species
AUGAACGCUGGCGGCGUGCCUAAUACAUGCAAGUCGAACGAGUUCUGAUUAUUGAAAGGUGCUUGCAUCUUGAUUUAAUUUUGAACGAGUGGCGGACGGGUGAGUAACACGUGGGUAACCUGCCCUUAAGUGGGGGAUAACAUUUGGAAACAGAUGCUAAUACCGCAUAAAUCCAAGAACCGCAUGGUUCUUGGCUGAAAGAUGGCGCAAGCUAUCGCUUUUGGAUGGACCCGCGGCGUAUUAGCUAGUUGGUGAGGUAACGGCUCACCAAGGCAAUGAUACGUAGCCGAACUGAGAGGUUGAUCGGCCACAUUGGGACUGAGACACGGCCCAAACUCCUACGGGAGGCAGCAGUAGGGAAUCUUCCACAAUGGACGCAAGUCUGAUGGAGCAACGCCGCGUGAGUGAAGAAGGCUUUCGGGUCGUAAAACUCUGUUGUUGGAGAAGAAUGGUCGGCAGAGUAACUGUUGUCGGCGUGACGGUAUCCAACCAGAAAGCCACGGCUAACUACGUGCCAGCAGCCGCGGUAAUACGUAGGUGGCAAGCGUUAUCCGGAUUUAUUGGGCGUAAAGCGAGCGCAGGCGGUUUUUUAAGUCUGAUGUGAAAGCCCUCGGCUUAACCGAGGAAGUGCAUCGGAAACUGGGAAACUUGAGUGCAGAAGAGGACAGUGGAACUCCAUGUGUAGCGGUGAAAUGCGUAGAUAUAUGGAAGAACACCAGUGGCGAAGGCGGCUGUCUGGUCUGUAACUGACGCUGAGGCUCGAAAGCAUGGGUAGCGAACAGGAUUAGAUACCCCGGUAGUCCAUGCCGUAAACGAUGAAUGCUAGGUGUUGGAGGGUUUCCGCCCUUCAGUGCCGCAGCUAACGCAUUAAGCAUUCCGCCUGGGGAGUACGACCGCAAGGUUGAAACUCAAAGGAAUUGACGGGGGCCCGCACAAGCGGUGGAGCAUGUGGUUUAAUUCGAAGCAACGCGAAGAACCUUACCAGGUCUUGACAUCUUUUGAUCACCUGAGAGAUCAGGUUUCCCCUUCGGGGGCAAAAUGACAGGUGGUGCAUGGUUGUCGUCAGCUCGUGUCGUGAGAUGUUGGGUUAAGUCCCGCAACGAGCGCAACCCUUAUGACUAGUUGCCAGCAUUUAGUUGGGCACUCUAGUAAGACUGCCGGUGACAAACCGGAGGAAGGUGGGGAUGACGUCAAAUCAUCAUGCCCCUUAUGACCUGGGCUACACACGUGCUACAAUGGAUGGUACAACGAGUUGCGAGACCGCGAGGUCAAGCUAAUCUCUUAAAGCCAUUCUCAGUUCGGACUGUAGGCUGCAACUCGCCUACACGAAGUCGGAAUCGCUAGUAAUCGCGGAUCAGCACGCCGCGGUGAAUACGUUCCCGGGCCUUGUACACACCGCCCGUCACACCAUGAGAGUUUGUAACACCCGAAGCCGGUGGCGUAACCCUUUUAGGGAGCGAGCCGUCUAAGGUGGGACAAAUGAUUAGGGUG